rnacentral:rRNA from 1 species
UACGUAGGGUCCGAGCGUUGUCCGGAAUUACUGGGCGUAAAGAGCUCGUAGGUGGUUUGUCGCGUUGUUCGUGAAAACUCACAGCUCAACUGUGGGCGUGCGGGCGAUACGGGCAGACUGGAGUACUGCAGGGGGAGACUGGAAUUCCUGGUGUAGCGGUGGAAUGCGCAGAUAUCAGGAGGAACACCCGUGGCGAAGGCGGCUCUCUGGGACGGUACUGACGCUGAGACGCGAAAGCGUGGGGAGCGAACAGG